AAUAAAACAGGAGUAAUAGACCAUGUGGCUCACUCUCUGAGGAUUAGUGGGUUGCUCUUUUUAAAAGACCUUGGAUCAGACUAAGACAUUGUGUUAUGAUCCAAGAUACACAGGGUAAAGGACCCCUUCUCACCAUUGAGUCCAGUCAGUCUGAAAGUGGAAGGAAGAAGCAAGCAAACAGUUAGUGGACCUAUUGACCUGUUGUAUUCCUCAGAGAGAAGCUGAAGUUGAGCUUGACCAACAUUCCUCUUUUAGUGACAAAAGGAAUUGAACAAGCCUCUUCCAGUAAGUCUGUCACCUGUCACCUGUUGCUUUUGACUAGCAGCUGCACAAUCAGAUUUUAGGUGGGUGACAGGUGUUAAUUAUUUUUGAAAGAGAGAGAGAGAUUUCUAAAAGGAGUAUAGAAUCCAGAAAAUAAGAGGAUAUUUUGUUGUUCCAUUUCAUUCACUCUCCAAAAAAGCCCCAGAUUGGGCAUGGAAACAUGAAACUUGAUUCUCUACUUUUGUUAGCAGGGGACACUGGGGGUUUUCUGCUUCUUCUGGCCAGCAAAGUCUGUGUAAGGUGCAGAUCUCUGCAGCUAAGAAGUGGUGCCCCUCUCAAAUGUGGGUUAUACCCUUCUAUGUUGAUGCAGACUCCAGUUGCUCACCAUCAAUUCCUUCUUCCUGGGAUCUUUCUUUCAAAUUAAAAGAAUGAACUCUGUAGACCAGGAAGAGUGGUAGGAUUUAUUGAAGAACAGGUAUAGAACUCUUGCAGUGCAAGAGGGGACCCGACAGGCUUUCUCUGCCUGAUUGAGCUAGUCUAGGGGUUUAUAUUGCCCUUGGGUCACUGUGUCGUGUCCAAGAUUAUGCUGGUUAGGCUCUGGAAACAUACAAAUGCUAUUGGUCCCAAUUUAUGCUAAUUAGGGUUUGUAAAAGCACUAACACUAUUAGUUAGCCCGAAUCCCACUCUGGUUUUCCUCACUUUUAUUUUCUGUAUGCUUUGGGAAGCCAGAAUUUGAGUCAUUGAAUUGUGCAUUCGUAGUGGUGUGUCAGGAACUGCAGGGCCUGUGUGGAGUGUGCUUCUGCAGUGGGCAUCACCCAUGUGUGCAGGAGGGAUCUUACAGGGUGAUGGAUCAGCUUGCCCCAGCUCACCUCAGUGCUGACAGAUGCUCCAACUUAUGUGGUCCAUCACUCCCCUGUUUGCUGGAACUUGUUGGCUGUGACCAGUAGGAUGACUGUCUGGCUUGGCAUCUGAGGAGUAAUGACAAUAGACAGAAUGUAUCUUGAUUGUGUUGUUAGUUGAAGUUUCAAAAGGUGCCAUUAUUUCUUUCCCUAGAAACCAAGCCUUGUCCACCUAUGCAGGAAGUCCUUUUUCAUGCUGAAAAUUUGUUUGGCCUGGCUAUCUAGCCUCUUCUACAGGAUCAGAAAAUAGCCAUCUAAGUAAAAUGCCAUCCCCAUGGCUAAUUCUAGAAAAUGCUCUGAUGGUUCAGAAGACUGAAGGCUCCAAAGCAUCUCUCCUAAAUGGGACAGAAGAGAAAGGGCCAACACUCUCCAAGAGGCAUUUAAGAAAACUAUGGGGGCUCAGGUUGUGGCUCAGUGAUAAAAUGCUUGCCUAGCAUGUUUGAGGUCCUGAGUUCAAUCCCCUGCACCAUCAAAAAAGAAACAAGAAAAAAGGAAAGAAAAAAUUGGUUUCCCUGUCUUUGAAAUCCAUGGCUGCCCUAAUUAUGUCACUGUGACCUAGCAUUAUAUUUGGUCACAGUGUAUUUGAGAAGACUCCAUCCUUCAGUCUCUUUCAAUGAUUCUACCAUUUUGAAUCUCCUUAGCUGUCCUUUGUCUGCUGUAUUAGGAGCCUCUUUCCUACCCACACCUCAGAGAAGUCCCACAGAUAUCUGGAAGAAUACUGUGUGUACUUGAGCCCACCUUUUUUUUAAGUAAAUGAGCUUCCUUCCCAUCUCCUUAUGCAAAAAUGCCUGUACCACUUCCCCUUGUGGUGAAGCAUAACUUCUAGUGAGGCCUCAAGUACAUGGUUAUAUUUAACCUAUCCAUGUCUUUUAUCUCAAGUAGAGCAGGUGCAGCUGAUUGUACUAAGAACUGGUAACAGUAAAAGCUGCUGGCACUGGAAGCAGACCUGGCAGGUCACCCUGAGGACAGUUAUGAAAGAGAAUAACAGAGAGCAAUGGAGAGCUGCAAAGAACUGCUAUGUUUGGCUGUUGAAAAAGUUCCAGGGAACUGUCAGUAGCCGCUGGCUCCUCCUGUCAGGAGCUCAGUGGCAAAGCUGCUCCCACUGAACACUGAGGGUCACUGGCAUUCACUCUUGGGGCUGUGAAUGCUAAUAUCUGAGAGAUGUUGGCCCUGGAAACUCAGAGCAGAUAAUAUUAUGGGAGGUGCAUUUUGCCUAUUUGUGGUUGCUCUCUAGAUGAAUAUUUGAACCCUCAGCCAGUUGGUAACAGAGAUGGUUAUGGGACACAGUUCAUGAAGGGAUGUACAGAGAUAGCCCCUUAAAUUAACUGAGGCCAUGUGAACAAUGUGAUAACUGGGUUUCGGUUAAGCUUUUUCUUCCAGGAUCAAUGGAAGAUGCAGGCUAAAUAUGGAGGCAAGGGCUUGGCCCCGCACCUUUGCACCCUGAGGAAUGGAAUCUGCAGAUACCUCCUCCUUUCAGUCCUCAACCCACAGAGUAGCACAGACACCACAGUAGAAGGCAGUAGCCAUGAGAACAUUUCUUUACUAAACUAUUUUUCUUCACUAUUGACAGUCAACUCGUGCGAUGUAUAGCUUUGUUCCAGGUAUACCUCUCUCCCUUUCCCAUCUCAGUUCCCAACUUUUGCCUUCCUCUUACAUUCCCAGUGCCCUCUCCUUGCCCUCCCUUUUCUGAGGACUAUCAGGAUCAGUUCUCAGUGACAAGUAUCUCUGCCAUUGUGUUGCAGGAUGUAAUGAGGGUGAGAUCUCACCAAGACCCUACCUGAGGAGUUGGCUCACCAGAUACCUAUCCUACUGUCUUCAAUGCCUCUUCUUCUUUCUCUAGGGUCUGAUGACUGACACUUCCUCUCAGAUGCUGGGCAAGAGGAAUCAGACUCAGAGCUACAUGUUUCUCUCCAUUGACCUAAAGAUGAGACCCAGAAUGGGGUGUCUUUCUUGCAUGCAUUGAGUGUCAAACUUUAGCUUACUUCCUAGAUUGGCAUCAGGAGGGGGAUAGGGGAUGAGGACUCUUCUUUGAGGCUGAGUAGCCUGCGGUGCUCAGCCUCCAGGGAUGAAGGGGUCUGUGUAAAGGCCAUGGUCUGGAACAGUUCCCAGGACAGCAGAAGGUGCUGGGAAGCCAGGAGGAUGUCCGGGGUAUGGAGGGUCAUGAUUGUCCUCACUAAACACCUCUGCUUUCUCAUGUGGCUCCAGUAGGAGAAGUUCUGCUGGGACCCACUGCCCUUUUCUGGUCCAGGCUUAGGGAAGAGAUUCUGUGGUCCAGGGGAGAGUUGAGAACCAGAUGGCACCCAUUGAUGAAGACUCACCAGAGUGCAGGAAGAUAUCAGUGUGCUUUCAUUAUAGGACCUAGGUUGUGUGACCCUGCAUCUCUUAAUUUCCUAUGAGGUGACCCCUCGGGGGCCAGAUCUCCAUUUAGGCCUCAUGUCCAGUGCUAUCACUAUGUCCCUCUAUACCUUGGCUGACAGCUGAUUUAGAAGCACUUUAGUCAGGGUACAACAUAACUUUAGGGCACCUACACCGAUCAUUUCUUCUUUGAGGGCAGGCAGUAGGUGCUUUUUCACCAGCUGCAGAAGGGAAAAGAGCACUUGCUCAGUCUGCAUUGGGCAUGAGGGUAGACAGAGGGACUGAGGGGAUGUGUAGAUAUGAAAGGGAGGUGUCACCUGCCUUGGUGUCAGACUGAGGUUCUGAUGGCCAUUCUGCUGGGUGAGUCCUCCUGGUCCAGCUCUUUGGUUAGGGUCAAGAUAUCCAUGUGUACUCUUACAAAAGCAAUACUUCCAAGAAAUGAGGGUGUGGAAAAAUGAAGCCUGCACAUUGAGGAGAAGAAGAAAUUGUGUGUGGCCUUGGUAGGAAGUGUCCCCAAGCCCAAGACACCUCUGGGACUUAUAGGAAGCAUUGAUGAUGUCUUCCUUGUUCACACCAUGGGGUUGUUAAAUCAAGACCAUGAGCUACCUCACCCAACAGACAAACAGUGCUGAGUAUCUAAAGAAUGAAACAUAAUUUCAUGAGUCUGGGCUGGCUUUCCCAAAGUCUUGUAGACACCUGGAUUCCCAGCCCAGCCCACCUUGGUGAAAAAGUCCUCUUGGAGCACAGCUCAUCAGUGUAGGGCAGGAGGUUUGUAUCUUGGUACAAGUUGUCCCCCUUUAGAUGUCAUUCUAUUUCAUUCAUUUCCAAGUUUCCCAUGGACUCCUCUAUGGCCAAGUGUGGGGCUAUCCACAUGGUGAAGUUGGGAGACCCCACCAGAUGUUCAUAAUGUCCACAUAUACCUUAGUGGCUUCAGGUGUGAUGUAGUCAGAAAUCUUGGUCUCUGGAUACCAGCAGCAUUAGACUUCUGGUGGGUGAGCCUCGGGGCCAGUCUUUCUGGCAGUGCACACUAGGAUAGAGGAUAAGAGUGUGGUGUAUACACAGUGGUUCCAGCUGUGCUCCAACCAUUUGGUGGAAAAAAGUUUUCAAGGGACCUAAUCUGGUUCAGGUUGGCCCUGCACAUUCUGACAUCAGAACCCAUGAGUGGAGACUCUGCAUCAGUGGGGCAAUGUAUGUUAUGUGGGAGGACAUUUUGAGAUACCCAUAUUCGAUAUACUUGGGCCACACACACAGACUCAUGUCCUAGGCAGAUGGUGUGUUGACUCUUCGCAUAGGCAGGGGGAGAGAAGUUAGCACCUUGGACUAGGCAAUAUCCACUUCAGAUCCAAGGGUAGCUGGAAUCCCAAAUGCUCAGGGGCUGUUCUACUGGCAACUGAAAAAAAAUAUUCACAUGUGUGACAGCAGACUCCAUUAUCACUUUUUUUUUUAAAUCAUGAAUUUCUAUGGGAAUGUGUUUAGCUCUCUCUUGCUGCACAAUCGCAAAGACUGGAGAAUAUGGAAGAUUGAGCCUCUGUGGGAUUAGAAGUGUCUGACAUUGGAAUCUAUCAUCAACUGAAGCCUUCGGUCCUCCAUCUCUGAAUCCUCAAACUCCACAAACCUGACAGGUAAACAAGAUAUAGAAUUAUUUUUAAAAAAGGGGAUUUCUCAUUGGAAAACCCAAGCUGUAGCUUCAUAGCAAUGAGGAUCUGGUAGCAGGGAUGGGGAGCAGUUCUCAGACCAGGGGCUGGGCUGGUCCCAGGAGAGAUCAAUUCCCAAUGCAGAAACAGUUCUGGGUGCUCCUGACAUCACUUAGUAUCUGAAGAGAACCACGUAUGCCUUAGUGAACCAGGAACAUUCCUUUAUGUAUCCUCCCACCCUUAUUCCAGGCUUCUUAUAUCCCUGCCCUGAACCACACAGAAAAGCCAAGCAUCAGCAUCUGGUCAAAGAUAUGAUUUAUGUAAGACAACUCUCCCUCUCUAUGAAUGGUGUGCUUAGGACUGUAUACCAUAGAAGAAAGACCAAGGGCAUAAGACUCAGGAGAGGUCAUGAUAAAGUCGAAGCUAUGCUGAAAGUAUUGGAAUACCUGGGUUCCCAGCCCAGCCCACCUUCCAAAGAGGGCUGUAUUUUAUUUCUUUGUUUGAAUGGCGAGAAUUAAAUGGAUUAUGAGGCCAGGGGUGUUUGCUUAGGGCAUCUGAGACACUGGCUUUCCCUGAUCAUGUUUUUUUUUAAAUUCUAAAUUUCUUCUGGAACAUCAGGGUGUUAUUGUGGCAUCUUUCAUGAGCAGGGGUGAUCCAUAUGAUGUAAGACAGUUUAUAUUUCAGGUGGUUUACCAACACCAAGCUAGUGAAACUUGUACCCUGUGGACAGACCUCACUGAUGAUGGACAUCCCCUGAGCAAGGUUGGUUACUCAUUCAUACCCUAACCCUGAACCUCUAAGCAGUGGUGGAACUAAGAAUGUUGAGGCCAGAGCUUCCAGAACUAUUAGAGAGUAUCCAGCCCUCUAGGUAGAGGGAACAAAUGCUUGGAGAGGAAAGUGUUCAGUGGUUUUCCCUGUGGUAGCAGAUGCCCUUCCUGGCUGGGUGAGAAGCUCCAACAGAGCCAGCUGUUCAACCCAUGUUCCCUAGCACUUAGGUCUAGUCACAGAUGUCUGACACACUUUUCUGCCAUCUCAUAGAUCAUCUGGUCAAAGGUAUGCAUUGACACUUCUGCAGACCCCUCCACAGUCCCACCUCCAGAUUCAUGGUAGGCUCAAGUCCAGAUAGAGGCCAAAGCACUGGCCUGGGAUUCAUCAGGAUCAGUCACAAUCCACAACCCAUAUUUCAUUGCAAGUUGACCUGACCCAACACAUGCCUUGCCUUUGCCUCUUCUGUCCAGUCACUUUGACCACCCCAUGUGGGCUCCCUGCAUCCAGAACAUGCUCUCAUACUAGAGAGAACAUCAAGUACUGUACUGGAAUCUGACUCUCCCUUGAGUUCUUGAUGUUGUUGUGUAUUGUGACAUGAAUGUUUUUGUCCUCCAGAAUUCAUGCAUGAAUGUCCUAAUCUCUCAUGUGAUGGUAUUUGGAGAUGGUGGCUUCAGUGGUUGUUAGGAUUUUAAUGGGGUCAUGAGGGUGGAGUUCCCAUGAUAGUAGUAGUGCCCUUCUAGAAAAAGGAAGUGACGCUAAAGCUCUAUUAGCCAUAGGAGGUCACAGGCAAGGCAGCCAUUUUCUCAAGCCUGGAGGCAAGCACUCACUGUACAUUAAAUCUGGCACCAUCUUUCUGGAACUUCCCAACUUCAGAACUAUGAGAAAUGAAUGCCUGUGGUUUCAACUUCCCAGUCUGUAGCAGUGCAUAUGGCAGCCUGAGUUGAGUGAGACAGAGUACAUAGUGCCCUUGGAGGAGAAUUAAAGCCUGAGACGAUGAUGUACAUCUCCACAGAGGAUCCCAAUGGAAAGAGUACUCACUCAUGAAUUCUGCACCAUCUCAAUAUCCUAAACAGAAAUUCCCCAGAACAAUGUGGUUGGAUUUCCAGAGAGAUCUGUACUGGUGCCUCCCCUCUAUCUCCAACACUAGUUGUGAUGUUGCCUUCCAUGAACAAUCAGGUCUAUGCUAGAAGGUGAAAAUACUAAGUGAGGGACAAUCAUAUGGAGUCAGAGAACCAAUUCAAAAUCCUGGCUCACAUUACUUCCAGGAACCUCCUGUGACCUUACAUCCCCUGAGUGAUGGUGAUGCUCAUUGGGAACAAAGAUUGCUGUACUCACAGGGCUGUGAUGGCCACCUGAGAUAAGGUCCAUUUCCUCCCCUGGUGUGAGAUGAACAUGGCUGGGAAUGUAGGUCUCUCAGCUUAUCCCUCCACCCUCAAGAUGUUUCUUCCAGUUCCCCUACAUCCCAGCCUCCUUUCUUCAUGCCACACUUUUCCUCCUUUCAGAGCUCAAGGAGAAGUUCUGGGUCCCUGGGGAGAACACUCACAUGAGGAAGCAAGAAAGUGCUUCCACAUCGGGAGUCUGAGAAGGUGCAGGUGGAUCAGGAUCUUGAAGUGCUGUCAGUGCUAGAAGUUUUCAUAGAUGUUCUGUCAUCCACUGCAGUUAUCGGAAGGUGGGCAUUGCACACUCCCCAAACACUACCUCUGGCCAUUGGUGGCUAUUCAUGGGGAAGAUGAUGGGGCCUGUUGGGAAAAUGGAGGUGGUGCUGGAGGUUGAAGACCCUGGUGCCCGUUCCCCCACUGGCUGAGGCAGGCACAGGGGUCCUCAGGCAGAAGCUGCUGUGAGGAAUGGAGCAGGAUGAUCCACACCACCUCAGAAGGCCCCUGGGGCCCUCCAGUUGAGGAGUGCCUGAGUGAGGGCAACCUUCUGAAUGUGGCUCUCCUGGUCUCCAUCUGGCCCAUGUUGACCAAAGUUGAAUAGCCCAGACACACACACACAGCAGGGACACCAGCUUCUGCUGCCAUUGAUAUUUCAGGAUAAGCACACUGCACCAGCAGGUUCCCCUGGGAGAUUGGUGCAAUUACAGCAGGCAACAUGAUCAGCACCCAGAAUACCUGGUGUGUAGGCACAGGAGCAUAGGGAAGACAGAGCAGUGCUCUGAAGGGAGACAGGAGAACCAGGUUCUGCCUGGUCUCAGCAUUCAAGAUGCUAUGGAAGCAAAGUAAAGGGGAAGUGGCAGUAAGAGUGAGGCUCCCCAGCCUUUGUCACUGGGCAUCUGAGAAGGAAUGGCAACAGCUCAGGGUCUUAUAGGCAGGAAAAUCUUGUGGUUUGCAACUUUUUUUAAGUGAAAUUUAGGCUUCCUUCCUCCAAUCAAAAGUUACACUCAGAGAAAUCUUGAUCCCAAUACUCAAAGAUUCCCUGAACAUGGUCUAUAGUGACAUCUCAGCUUUUCCUGACUUAGAGGCCCUUGGCAUCCUUUGCUGACAAUGGAUUAGUGUACAAGGCAUCUUUCUGGAAACUGACUCUGCUGAGUGGCACCAUUCCUCUCAGCAUUCUCACCAACAGGAAGGAGACCUCCCUUCUCCAAAAAAGUUCUAGGCACUCCAAAGUCCGAUGUAAAUGUGACAAGUUCAUAAUUUAUGGCUCCCUCACCUCCUUAGCCUUCCUUUUGCUGAUUCUCCUUGGAAAACCCUCAGUGUUUUUUCUUAGCCUUGCACAACUAAACAAAAGCAACUGAGUGAAAUGUCUCCCUAGCUAGAGCCUGAGGAACCCUGAAGGUCACCAGGAGCACAUCAUGCCCAGAGUGUGGGUACCUCUCCCAGCACUUCUAACCACAAACACCAGUGGGGACACAGAUUCUGGCACCUCAGUGUAUCUGUAAACAGAGUUUUCCCAAGAAAAUUCUUGACACGGCAACAAGUAAACUAGCACUUGAAUAUUUUGGCUGGAGGUGCACAAGCCAUGGUCGCAGAACUGUUCUCAACUUGAAAUGAAUCAAGGCAGUGGACCUAAACUGUACCAGUAGAGAUUGUAUUUGUCCCACCCACCAAGCUGCAUGAGAAAUGACAAUUUUAGUUAAAAAUGUCCUAAUAAAGUAGAAAGAAUGUCAAUCAUUCUUAACUCUUGAACCAUGGGAGAUGCAGUGCUAAAACUGAACACCCAAGGGCCACACUUGCACAUAUCAAAUAAAUGGUGGGAAGAGUUGAUAGGCACAGAGAUAUUUGAAAAGUGGUGGGAAAAUAUAUGGGGGAAUGGGGUUGAUAGCUAAAAGGUAAGAGAUUUCUUUUUGAGCUGAUGGAAGUAUUCUAUAUUUUAUUGUAGUUGUUAAAGAAAUGUCUGUUGCCGAUAUGGUGGCAACGUCUAUGAAAACUUUAGAAUUCUAAUAUUUGAUGGGUGAUGUGAGUUAUGUGAAUGUCUUCCUUAAGUUAUUUUGCAGUGACCUGUAGCAAAAAUAUUAAGAUGUUAGCAGACAAUGCCUCAGAUGUUUGGCCAGCAUGCCACAGCCUGGCCAAGAUUCUAGGAAACAGGAGACAGUGCUGGCCAGUUCACAGAGAUCAGGAGGAGGUCCUUAAACUGAGUUUCAACAAGGAUGCAGUUACCAAAGGGGGCCCCCACAAGGGCCCAGCCCCUGUGGUCACUGUCAGAAAACACAGCUUUUCAUUAAUGGAGGGAAUGGGUCUUGGUGAUGUCAGUUGAUGACUCCCUAGUGUGCUGUGACUUCUUCCCCUAGAAAUCAGGGCUGGUCCUCUCAUCAGGCCACCUACUCAGGAAGACCUUGGCCAUGCUGGGGUUCCAUCCAUCCUCACUGUCCAGCAUCACUCAGGAGAGGAGAAGAAGGUGUCUUCAAAAACACUGUUUCCAGGUUUACUUCUAGAAACCUGAUUAAUGGCAGAGGGGCCUGAAGGCUCAAAAGCUGGUCUCUAUCCAACUGAGACAGGAGGGCUCAAAGUUGUCAAUAGGUACUUGAUGAAAAAUUGUGCCCUGACUCUGAUGGCCAUGGAACUUGAGUCCUAUGAAAAACCAUGGAGUUUGAUUACACACGACAGACCACAAAUAACUUUACUUCCAAUCAUUUUUGUGCAUGUCUGAAGUCGCCAUAGUUCUUUAUCCCACAAAUGGCACUAAACUUUGGCAUCCUUGCAAUUUAAUUAUUCUUCUUUGUAAACUUCCACAUUUUGUUGAUUGGAAAACCAUGUGGUGUGUAGCCUUCUUUAUUCCUCAUUGAUUUGUAGGAGAACUUGAUUACAUUUGGGCCGGCCACACUCAGUAUAGGUCAGGCUGGUGUCAGGGUGGGGCCAAUACUACCUAUGGGAGGGUCAGAGCACUGUGUCAGUGGGGGGUGGGUCUGUUUUGGGAUGCAGUCAGGACUUUCAGCCUGUUGGGACCCCGGUGAGUUCCCGGUCAGAACUAUAGAGGAGUGGGAGAGGUGUGAAGACAGGUCUUGUCCUCUCAUCAGGAAACCUACACAAGAAGACCACAGCCAUGCUGGGUAUCAGUCAAAUAACAUUGUUCAUCAUCAUUCAGGAGAGCAGAAAGAAGCUGUCUAAGAAAAAAAAAUUGUUUCCAGGCUUAUUUCUAUAAUUUAUUUAAUUGCACAGGGGCUUCAAGGCUCAAAAGCAGCUCUCCAUCUAAAUGAGACUGAGGGCCCAAAGUUCUCAAGAGGUACUUGAUAAAAAAUUGUGCCCCUGUCUGUGAUGGCCAUGGCUACCACAAAUGCCUCACAGUCACUCAGAGACUUUUGCUUCCGUAGCAGGUCCUCUCCAGAUAACUCCAACCUGCAGUGGCUCAACAUGACUCAACACUUUGGGACCCUUCGGUGGUCCUUAGUGUGGAGUGCAAGGAGCCCCUGCCCUAAUCAUGCCUAAGCAGAAAUAUUGUGGGUAUCUUGGAAGGACACUGUACAUGCCUGAGUUCACCUUUUAAAUUCCAAUAAGAUUAAUUCCCCAUCUCCUUAUGCAAACAGUUCCUAUACCAUUUUGCCUUCUGCAGCAGCAUAACUCCUAAUGAAGUAGAUGGUAGAGUUUGUAUAUUCAUGACUUUCAUCUCAACUAGAGCAGAUCAAGUUGGUUACACUGAAAAAUGGCACACCAGGCAGGUCAGCCUGAAGGUGGCAAGCACAGAGAGUGACCUGGAGCAGUGGAGAACUGCAGGAGCUGCUAGGUGCAGCUGUCAGAUGGUCUCCAGGGAACUGAUGGAAGUGGCUGGCUACUGAUCCCAAGAAGGCAAUGGGAGUUUCUAUCACUAGGAGCUGAGGGUCCUUGACAUUCCAGUUCAGAACUAGUAACAAUAAAAUCUGAGAGCCACCAGUUAGUCCUGAGACUUCAGAGCUGUGAAUACCAAGGGAGAUGUGCUUUGCCCCUUUGUGAUUUCUCUUCAUAGCAGAGAAUCAUAGAUUGUUGGUAAGGGAGAUGUUUAAGGGGCACAGAUCAUGGAGGGAUACACAGAGAAGAUCCCCUAAACCAAGAGAGGCCUUUUCCAUGGGGUGAUGAGUUGGGUUUUGGAAUCUUGUUUGUUUUCUCCCAGGUUUAGGGAGAGGACCAGUCUAAAUCUGGAAACAAGACCCAAUAGAUGGACACUUGUGCACCCUGGGUCCUGACAACCCCAGAAAUCUCACUGCAUGGAUGUGCACAGAAAACAUGGCAGAAGGCAGCAGCCAGAGAAGAUUUUUUUUCUACCAAACUGCCUUUAUUCCCAUUGACAGUCAAACAAGGUACAGCUUCCCACCCAGGCUUGAACAUUGUGACCCUCCCCUCUCAGUAACUUCCUGCUGCUCUCUUUCUACAUUCCCUAUACCCUCCCACUCCCUUCAUUUUUCUGAGAUCCCACAGGAACUGUCCUAUGUGAGGAAGAACCUUUGGCCCUUCCAGUGCAGAAUGAAGCAAAGGUGAAAUCUUGCCUGAGGAGCAGCCAACCCAGAGGCCACUGGCCAACAUGACUGUCCUCAGGGCCUCUUCUUCUUUUGGUUGUCUCAAGAUGUGCACUUCCUCUUCUGAGGCUGUGAGGUUUGAGCCAGAUCCAGAUCCAUAUCUUGCCCUCCAAAGACCUUUAGGGGAGACCCAGUACAGGGCAUUUUUUCUAUGAAGCAUGAGCGUCCAGUGAGAGUGCUCUUCAUGGACAUGGCACCUGGAGGAGGGUGGGAGCUGAGGCGUCCUCUCUGGGGAGUUGGGGCCUGGAGUGCUUGAUCUCCUGAGCACAGGGUUUCUAUUGGAGGGGCUUGGCUCUGGGACAGUCCCCAGGGCAGCAGGCGGUGCUGGGAGCUAAGGAGGAAAUUCGGGCUUUGGGGGUCAUCAUCCACAUUGCAGCCAUUGGCCUAGAAGAAGUGGCUUUUCUGUGAUCCACUGUGCCUUUGUUUCCCAGGUUUAAGGAGGAGGAUAUGCAGUUCUGGAGAGGAUGGUUGGAGUGGAUGGUCCCCAAUGAUGAAGAUCAGUGACAUCCUUGGAGGAUAGCAGUGUCCUUUGAACCCAGCAACUCUGGCUUGGUGGGCCUGCACCUCUUCAUGACCUGGGAAGCCACUUCUGUGGACCAGUCCUCCAUGCUGACCCCUUGAUCAGUGCAAUGUUUCCACUUCUCUGCACCUUGUUUGGCAGCUUCCUCGGAAGCACCUUGUGUCCAGUUGGGACAUACCAUGACCUUGAGGCACCUGAAAAGGUGCUUCUUCACAAGCUGAAGGAGGAUAUGGGUACUGGCCAACUUUUCUUUAUGCAUGAAAUGGGCCACAGGGAUCAGGACAAUCAUAUUUCAGUGGGAGGUGGGAAGUGGGGCUGUCACUCAUCUUGGUCUCAGAGAAACCUGGCCACCCUCCUUUCUGCUUGAUAUCCUGAACCCUUCCAUGACUCUCAUGUCUCCUUCCUUUUUUUUCCAUCCUACAUCCUGUGUCCUGGAACAGACUCACUCAGGGAGCCGUCACAAACAGGAUAAGGAUAAACAAAGUCCCGUGAGCCACAUGAGUAAGGUCCUGUGCCUUCCUCUUCUACCUGCUAUCCCUUGCUUCCCUCUCCAACUGUGGUCACUCCCUUUUCUGUUUAUUUGUGACCCUUUGUCUCCUAGUCUGCCAUGUAUUUCUCUGUGCCUUGGUGUCUGUUCCCAAACCCUGGUAAACCUGGUAUAUCUACCUCCUUAGUUCUACCUGGUGCCCCUUUCUCCUUGUCUACCUUUUGUUUCUCCCCUACCCCUGUUUUUUCCUGGUGUCCCUGCACUUCUUUAUCAGGUGUCCCUGCCUCUCUUCUGUACCUCCUACCCCUGGUCUACUGGGAGACCUUCCUUCUGCUUUCUACCUGGUCAGUGGUGAGUCCUUCCUGCUGAUCCAACUCUUUUGUUAGGGCCAAGAUAUUUAUAUAUGGUUUGGAGGAAAGUAUUUCUUCCAGGAAGCAGGUAUGAAUCACAUUCUCUGCCUGGGAUGAGAAGGAAGAGAGUGUGAGUGACCUUGGGAGGAAAUGGCCCCAAGUCAGGAGGCAAAAGCAAGUCUAGGAGAAAGAGGAAGCAAUAAUGAUCCCAUUUUCAUCUGAACCAUGGGGUUGUUAUAUCCCAACUAUCAGCUACACCCAUGUAUGAGUGCACAUGUGUGCAUGCACAUUCUCUCUCUCUCUCUCUCUCUCUCUCUCUCUCACACACACACACACACACACACACACACAAACACACACAAAAUGCUGAGAUUCUAAGUCAGGAAGCUCAAUUCCAUGAGUCCUGAAACCUUGAGUACACCAAGAUUGUAGGUCCAGCUUACCUUGUUGACAAAGCCCUCAUCAACAUAGCUCAGGAGACAUGGAUCUGGGUAUAAAUCAUCCUGUAUUGGAUGUUGCUCUAGUCCUUCCUCUCCCAAGUUUUCAGCAAGCUCUUCUGUGGACAAGUAGGAGGGCUCCCACGUGGCAAAGUUCGUAGGCCCGAAUAGCUCA
rnacentral:lncRNA from 1 species